UAACGAAUCUUCCGCAAUGCACGAAAGUGUGACGGAGCGACGCCGCGUGUAGGAUGAAGUCCUUCGGGAUGUAAACUACUGUCAGGGGAAAGAAAGUUCUGAUCUACCCCAGAGGAAGAGACGGCUAACUCUGUGCCAGCAGCCGCGGUAAUACAGAGGUCUCGAGCGUUAGGCGGAAUCACUGGGCUUAAAGCGUGUGUAGGCGGGUCGGUAAGUACCUUGUGAAAUCCCACGGCUCAACCGUGGAACUGCUUGGUAUACUGCCGAUCUUGUGCAACCUAGGGGCGAGCGGAACAGAUGGUGGAGCGGUGAAAUGCGUAGAUAUCAUCUGGAACGCCAAUGGUGAAAACAGCUCGCUGGGGGUUUGCAGACGCUGAGACACGAAAGCCAGGGGAGCGAACGGGAUUAGAUACCCCCGUAGUCC
rnacentral:rRNA from 1 species